GAUGAACGCUGGCGGCGUGCCUAAUACAUGCAAGUCGAGCGAACGGACGAGAAGCUUGCUUCUCUGAUGUUAGCGGCGGACGGGUGAGUAACACGUGGAUAACCUACCUAUAAGACUGGGAUAACUUCGGGAAACCGGAGCUAAUACCGGAUAAUAUUUUGAACCGCAUGGUUCAAAAGUGAAAGACGGUCUUGCUGUCACUUAUAGAUGGAUCCGCGCUGCAUUAGCUGGUUGGUAAGGUAACGGCUUACCAAGGCAACGAUGCAUAGCCGACCUGAGAGAGUGAUCGGCCACACUGGAACUGGGACACGGUCCAGGCUCCUACGGGAGGCAGCAGUAGGGAAUCUUCCGCAAUGGGCGAAAGCCUGACGGAGCAACGCCGCGUGAGUGAUGAAGGUCUUCGGAUCGUAAAACUCUGUUAUUAGGGAAGAACAUAUGUGUAAGUAACUGUGCACAUCUUGACGGUACCUAAUCAGAAAGCCACGGCUAACUACGUG
rnacentral:rRNA from 1 species